ACUCCAGUGUAGGUGUCUCUCCGUGUGUGACUGCCAAGCGCUCCACACACAGAGCCAGGUGCUCCCUCGGCAGCCCACACACACCAGCAACAGCAGAGCAGGAAGGUUUUACACCCUCAGUCCUGGCCCUCUGCUAGGAACACGUCUGCUGCCCUUCCAGGUCCCACCUUAUCAGAUGGCGAUGCUGAGGAGUAAAAUAAUGCCUGUGUGCCUCAACUUCACCCCAAGCUCCUGACUUUAGUGUGCCAUUGAGAAAUUAGAGGAUGAGGAAACUUAACAGUGGCCUGUGAGUAACAGUGGAAAAUUGAGCCAAUAAAAUUUCCUUCACCUCUUUUAUGACACGGUCACAAAAUGACAGCUCUGACUGAGGAAUGCAAAGUCCUCGCGUCCCCUGGCCUACGCAGGCGUGCAUGGCAUAUUCUAAUUGGACUGGUACAUACCUUCCCGUCCAUGAGAGACUUCCCCUGGGAAGCCAUAGGCACCAGGCAAAUGAAAUCGGAGACUCGGCUCCUUCACCUUCCCAUUACCUGCAACAUGCUUUGAUCAGUGGGGCAUAAAUAAACACAUGAAUGUCCCAUCUCUGCCAAGGUCAACGAGAUGCAGCAGAGUUCCUCCAGUCACCUGAACGAGUUCAUUGGACUUGGGAUGGGGCAAAAUGCUUUACUGUGCUUAAAAAAAAAUCACUGGAUGUAACAACAAAGGGUAUGAUGUGGUAUGACUACUGUAGUUUGGGAAAGCUAAAAGCCAUAGAGAGCCUGAAGGGGAAAGGGUUGGGAUUGUCAAUGGACCAUAACCAAGAAGGAAGAGCCAAAGUUCUUGGAGUCCUCUUCCCAAACACCCUCCUGUAUGGAAAAUUUGGUCUAACCUCUGCCAGACUGAUGCACCUGAGGAACCCAGCUUUCAGCACAAAUCUUUGCUGCCCAUUACCGAAGCCAGCACCUCACCUCUUCCAUUUGUGCCAGCUAAGGUGCAAUACAGCAAUCCCCACAGCAGGACAUGCAGCAAUCCUGCUUUUGAUGCAAACAGUAGGUGGCAAAGAUGCACCCUGCUGUUUUAUGUCUUGCCUCUCCUCACAGCUAUAGCUUAUGAGCAGUUAAACAUGGGUGCAGUCACUAAAAAAUUUCAAGUCAGUGGGGCCCACAAAGGAUAGCUGUUAUCACCAGUAACAUAAUCCAGACUGAAGGGGAACACACAUUAGGAGCUCUCCUUCCUUCAGUGCCCCACUGCAGUCAUUCACUAAAAGAAGUCUCUACAGAAGAUUUAGACUGUAACUGGUUUUGGCAUAUUUUAAGGGCAACCAAGAAAGGACCCAUCCAGCAGAAUUUCCCAUUCCUAGCUCUAGCUGUUUGCAGCAGUUUCUUUCUGUCUGAGGGUCAUCUUUGCAGCUAGGGCAACAGUAACCCCUCCUACCUCACAGCAUUAGGCAGGGAGUGGCUGCUCAGUGUACUGAAUAUGCAAAGGCCUGUAAUAAGCCCUGUAUCUGAUUGCAACCAUAAGCAAAGUCUUAUUUAAGCAAUCCCUUCCCCAACAAAAAUAUAUCAGCUGCUCACUUGGUUCUUUCCC